rnacentral:rRNA from 1 species
AGUGAACGCUGGCGGUAAGCCUAACACAUGCAAGUCGAACGGCAGCACAGUAAGAGCUUGCUCUUACGGGUGGCGAGUGGCGGACGGGUGAGGAAUACAUCGGAAUCUACUUUUUCGUGGGGGAUAACGUAGGGAAACUUACGCUAAUACCGCAUACGACCUACGGGUGAAAGCAGGGGAUCUUCGGACCUUGCGCGAUUGAAUGAGCCGAUGUCGGAUUAGCUAGUUGGCGGGGUAAAGGCCCACCAAGGCGACGAUCCGUAGCUGGUCUGAGAGGAUGAUCAGCCACACUGGAACUGAGACACGGUCCAGACUCCUACGGGAGGCAGCAGUGGGGAAUAUUGGACAAUGGGCGCAAGCCUGAUCCAGCCAUACUGCGUGGGUGAAGAAGGCCUUCGGGUUGUAAAGCCCUUUUGUUGGGAAAGAAAAGCAGCAGGUUAAUACCCCGCUGUUCUGACGGUACCCAAAGAAUAAGCACCGGCUAACUUCGUG